rnacentral:rRNA from 1 species
CCUACGGGAGACAGCAGUGGGGAAUAUUGCGCAAUGGGGGAAACCCUGAUGCAGCGACGCCGCGUGAGUGUAGCAGUCUUUCGUUCCGUAAAGCUCUAUCAGCAGGGAAGAAAAUGACGGUACCUGAGUAAGAAGCCCCGGCUAACUCCGUGCCAGCAGCCGCGGUAAUACGUAGGGGGCAAGCGUUAUCCGGAUUUACUGGGUGUAAAGGGAGCUUAGACGGUGCGCCAAGUCUGGGGUGAAAUGCCGCGGCUUAACUGCGGAACUGCCUUUGAAACUGGCGAACUAGAAUGCGGGAGAGGUAAGCGGAAUGCCUGGUGUAGCGGUGAAAUGCGUAGAUAUCAGGAGGAACACCGGUGGCGAAGGCGUCUUACUGGACCGUAAUUGACGAUGAGGCACGAAAGCGUGGGUAGCAAACAGGAUUAGAUACCCGAGUAGUC